rnacentral:rRNA from 1 species
GCAGUGGGGAAUAUUGCACAAUGGGCGAAAGCCUGAUGCAGCAACGCCGCGUGAGGGAUGACGGCCUUCGGGUUGUAAACCUCUUUUAGUAGGGAAGAAGCGAAAGUGACGGUACCUGCAGAAAAAGCACCGGCUAACUACGUGCCAGCAGCCGCGGUAAUACGUAGGGUGCAAGCGUUGUCCGGAAUUAUUGGGCGUAAAGAGCUCGUAGGCGGUUUGUCGCGUCUGCUGUGAAAUCUGGGGGCUCAACCCCCAGCCUGCAGUGGGUACGGGCAGACUAGAGUGCGGUAGGGGAGAUUGGAAUUCCUGGUGUAGCGGUGGAAUGCGCAGAUAUCAGGAGGAACACCGAUGGCGAAGGCAGAUCUCUGGGCCGUAACUGACGCUGAGGAGCGAAAGCAUGGGGAGCGAACAGGAUUAGA